rnacentral:rRNA from 1 species
GGCAUGCCUAAUACAUGCAAGUCGAACGGAGAAGCCUAACAGAAGAUGCUUGCAUCGGAAGAUAGAUACUUCUCAGUGGCGAACGGGUGAGUAACACGUAGGUAACCUGCCCAUGUGCCCGGGAUAAUUUCUGGAAACGGAAACUAAAACCGGAUAGGUAAUAGAGAAGCAUUUCUGUAUUAUUAAAGAAGCCUCAAAGCUUUGAACAUGGAUGGACCUGCGGUGCAUUAGCUAGUUGGUAAGGUAACGGCCUACCAAGGCGACGAUGCAUAGCCGACCUGAGAGGGCGAACGGCCACAUUGGGACUGAGACACGGCCCAAACUCCUACGGGAGGCAGCAGUAGGGAAUUUUCGUCAAUGGGGGGAACCCUGAACGAGCAAUGCCGCGUGAGUGAAGACGGUCUUCGGAUUGUAAAGCUCUGUUGUGAGAGAAAAAGGAUAUAUAUAGGAAAUGAUAUGUAUUUGAUGGUAUCUCACCAGAAAGUCACGGCUAACUACGUGCCAGCAGCCGCGGUAAUACGUAGGUGGCGAGCGUUAUCCGGAAUGAUUGGGCGUAAAGGGUACGUAGGCGGCAUGAUAAGUCUGGAGUGAAAGGCUACAGCUCAACUGUAGUAUGCUCUGGAAACUGUCAAGCUAGAGUGCAGAAGAGGGCAAUGGAACUCCAUGUGUAGCGGUAAAAUGCGUAGAUAUAUGGAAGAACACCGGUGGCGAAGGCGGUUGCCUGGUCUGAAACUGACGCUGAAGUACGAAAGCGUGGGGAGCAAAUAGGAUUAGAUACCCUAGUAGUCCACGCCGUAAACGAUGAGAACUAGGUGUUGGGGGAAUAACUCAGUGCCGCAGUUAACGCAAUAAGUUCUCCACUCGGGGAGUAUGCACGCA